rnacentral:miRNA from 1 species
UUUUUAGUAUAAGUAUUUUUCAUGAAAUAUUUUAAACAUACUUAUACUUUAA